UAGUCGAUACGAGCUCGCUAGUGCGCUCAUUCAGAUCAAACCAAUCCGACUCAGCAAGAAAGCUCUCUCGCUUUUGUGAAGUGAAGUACUUUAGGGUUUCCAGAAGAGCGAGGGUUUCAACCUUGAGCAGAUGAAGCUACCCGGAUAAAUACAUGACGUGGCUCCUCAAAAUCUCAAUUUCUUGAGAAACAUGAAUGACAUUGAUCCAAAAAUUUCACAAAAAAUUUUAAUUUGACGAUUCCCUUAUUUGGACGAAAAAGUGGAAUUCCUUUAUGGGAGGGCUUCAAGGCCCUAUCUAUUUUUGCAUCUUUUUUCUUCGUUUUCGAAGCAAAGCAUCAAUUUUUUACAUUCAGAGCUAACUGGGUAACCAGACAUAGAAUAUGGAUUCGGGUAAAAGCCCUCCCACGAUCAAGAUCGACAAGAACCACGAAAAGAUAACAGAGGAAAUGACAUUGCUUUCAACUUAGUUCGACAGAUCAAUUACAUAACGAAAGAUUACUACAAAUGCUUUACGACAACAUCUGACUUCAUCAGUCAGUUGGAUACACGGUUAUCAUCUUCGACCAUUGAAGAUCAAUUUAGUUACAACAAUCUCCUGGUUAUGCCGUAUAUUUCUAGGAUAUAUUCAUGACACUCUAGCCCCACCUCCCAUUCAUUUACACCUCCCCAUCACUUCAGUCCCUUCUUCUCCGCAAGGAAAGAUACAAGCUCCUUUUUUCUCAAGUGUGGUUCCAAGAUCCCAGGAACAUCAUGGUCCUGAUCGGGUCCUCGACGCGAUACCCCGACUUCCGUCUCUCCACAUCUCUCGGGAUCGCAAACCGGCCCCAUACCGGGGCUUCGCCCCUCGACGGAGCGGCGGCGGCGGCCACGACGGCCGCCUCGUACGCUCGCCUGAGCCUCUCUCCGAUCGUCGCCGCCCUCUUGCUCUCGUGGCCGAGAGAGCAAUCCCCAGGUGGGUGCUGAGGUUUCAUGCUUUUUAAUGGAGUUUUUGCCUGUGUGGUGUGCGUGUGUGGAGGAUAAGAUAAUAGCAUUGAGGAGAGGACAUUAAGGGUGCAUAUAUAGAGAGAGGAAAUCACAUGGUUGAGCAUUGAGCAAGACAUGGUGGUGAGGGUCCAGUUGUCACUUUCAGAUAAGGGUAUCUUGCUAUUUGGUACUAUUCUUGACUUAGUGGAUGACACGCCGAAUUUCACAA